rnacentral:misc_RNA from 1 species
GAUGAUCGUACAUUAGCUUCUCAUUAGGUAUUUAAGAUGGCAAUGACAAUUUUUCCAAUUACAAGUCAUAAUCUAAAUUCGAUUAAUACCUUUGGGGUAGUCUCCAACCAAUCCAAAACGACGAUGGAUCGACGCAUCACGUUAACAGAAGAACCCUGAUGUAGCUGUUUCCACCUUCCACAAUCACAGCCAUUACACAACACCAACACAGAUCUCUAUACUUGCAAUCCAUGGCGACCUUAGACGAAACUAUGCAAAAUCAAACCGAAACCAGUGCCGAAACGUUUCGUCAAAAACCAAAUCCCAGAAACUAUCCUCAACGACCCAUCUCUCAACGCCGCCAUCUCCCUCUUGCCCUCCAACUACAACUUGGAAGUCCACAAGUGUGUCUGGCGCAUCCGCUCCACCAGAGCCAAGCGUCUCGCUCUCCAGCUCCCUGAGGGCCUGCUUAUGUAUUCGCUUAUUCUUUCGGAUAUAUUCACCGCCUUCGCCGGCGUUACCCACUGUUUCGUCCUCGGCGACGUCACUUAUGGCGCCUGUUGUGUGGACGACCUCUCCGCCUUGGCGUUAGGUGCUGAUCUUCUAAUUCACUAUGGCCAUAGCUGCUUGGUCCCCAUCGAUGCUACGAAAGUUCCUUGCCUUUACGUUUUUGUUGACAUUAAAAUCGAUGUUGAGCGCCUGAUUAGCACCAUCAAACUCAAUUUGAAUGAUAAAAAAAGCAUUGUUCUCGCGGGUACUAUUCAGUUCGCAUCUGCGAUUCGAGAAGCAAAGCCUGAGUUGGAAAAGCUGGGCCUUUCGGUUUUGAUCCCUCAAUCGAAACCCUUAUCUGCCGGUGAAGUUUUGGGUUGCACGGCACCCAGAAUAUCAUCGAAAUCUGUAAUUGGUAGUUUCAGUGACAUGGUUGUGGUAUUUGUGGCGGAUGGGAGGUUCCAUUUGGAGGCGUUUAUGAUAGCUAAUCCUGAGAUUAGUGCGUUUAGGUAUGACCCAUAUCUGGGGAAGCUGUUUCUUGAGGAAUAUGAUCAUCAAGGAAUGAAGGAGACGAGGAAGAGGGCAAUAGAGAGGGCAAGGGAAGCCAAGAGUUGGGGGAUUGUGUUGGGCACAUUGGGAAGGCAAGGCAAUCCGAGGAUUUUAGAUAGGUUGGAGAAGAAGAUGAGAGAAAAACAUUUUUCUUAUACCGUUGUUUUGAUGUCAGAGAUUAGUCCUACUAGGAUUGCCUUAUUUGAGCAAUCUGUGGAUGCUUGGAUUCAGAUUGCAUGUCCUCGGCUCUCUAUUGAUUGGGGAGAGGCAUUUGAGAAGCCUCUUUUGACACCUUUUGAAGCAGAGAUUGCUGUUGGGGAUUUACCAGGUUGGUGGGAGAAGGAUAAGAGUGUAGUGGCAAACUCAGGGUGUUGCAAUGGUCUUGGAUGUGGGCACAGCAAUGGAUUGUGUUCUGGAUGUGGCAAUGGAUUGUGUUCUGGAUGUGGCAAUGAAGCUGCAAAGGAUGUAAAGGGUGUAGGUGAUUCUUUUGCUGGUGAUUAUCCCAUGGAUUACUAUGCUCAGGAUGGUGGGGAGUGGAAUUCCUCUUAUUUGAAGAAAGCAACUCGCCCUAUAAGAAGAAAUGUGGUGUCCUCUACCAGUGAUGGUGCUGCUUUGUAGCAUCACUACCUCUUAAGGAUUGUAUUACAUGUGCUUUGUAGCAUCAUUAGCCCAUAAAGAUUUUAUUACAGUUGCAGUAGACAAAUUGAAUAUGGAAAGCUUUUUCAUGUAAUAUGAGAAGCUAUCGAGAAGAUGAGUCGAGUGUAUCUACUCCCAGGAAGCUGCUGGCAUCAAGCCACACAGAAUCAAAAGCACAUAUCCAAUGGCGGUAAAAUUUGCAGUGUGUAAAAUGUCCCCAGCAUCUGCAUGUGGUGUUCAGCUGAUCCUAUCUCCUCUGAGUUAGCUUCAGCACAUCAUGUUUCUCAAGUUAUUCUCAGAUGGAUGCGCCAGCUACAAGGUACAGCAGCAAGGUUUGCUUGAAGAGGUCAUUAGUACUCAUGACUGAAUAGGGGUGAGCAUCGGUUGGUUCAGUUUGGAAAAUCAAAUAUCCAAAUAAACCAAAAUUUUUAGCAGGCCAAACCAAACUGAAUUAGGGAGAAAAUUGAAAAAUUGAAUCAAACUGAAAAAAAUAAAAUUUUUAGCCGACUAGACCAAAUCAAUCUGAUUUGGUUUGGUUUGGUUUGAUUCAAUUUUAUUUAUCAAUUGUGGUUUCAUCUUGAGCUUGUUUUUCUUUGAUUUAUUUUGGACUCAUUUCUUACUCAAUUUUCUUUAUAUUUUAUAUUUUUAACUUUAAUUUAAGAUUUAAUAAUAAUUAAUUUUAAAAAUAAAUUAUUCAGUUUGAUUCUACUGAUUUUUGGUGUCAGCUUCCCAGCGGUGCAAUCAUAAUUCAUCAAUUCAUAACAAAUGUUUUUAUUUUUUUUUUGGAAGUAAUUUCUUGCAGUCAAGGAUUUGUACCGUUCAACUUGUAAUGAAUGAUGUCAAGUCAAUGAAUCUUUUCAAUUGGCAAUGUCUAGUAAUUUUAAAUUCUUAAUUAUCAAAAUAGUAAGCAUAUGAGAUUUUUCUUGUAUAGACUGAUCUAAUUUUGAACUAUAUAUUUAAACCUUUUAGAUUGAAUUAAUGGAAGUGAUUUAGAGGAUAAAUUGGUCGAGGAAGAAAGUCAGCUAGAUGGAAGGGUAGAGAAGCAAGACACUGAGAAGAUGAAAGAUCAGCAGGCACUCAUUCUCCAAGAACAUUGAUGAUUAAUUUCCUAAUGACUUAAAAAUAAUGUAAUUGGAUUCAUCAAUUGCACUCUGUUUUUAUCAAGGGGCUUGUAUUAUUAAUAAUUAUUUUGUCAACGGAUAAUACAAUUGAUAUAAUUCUUUUGUCAACAUUCAGAGUUAAAAUUACAAAGAAUCUCAUUAUCUAAAAAUUGUGAGCUUGUUGAAAUGUAAAAAUGCAUUAUUUUCAUUGUAGCAGAACUGUAACUCCAUCUGGUCUGGUGAAGUAGAAUCGCUUCUAUUUUCUAGUGCCACACAAAAUUGAUAUUCAGCCAUGAUAAAAAUUAGUCAAUUUGCCUUAGUUUUUAGUCCAUCAUUGCUAAGCAAACUCUUUUCCUUUUCCGUGCAACCCAUGUUAGUAGUAUGCCCUAGAGCA